rnacentral:rRNA from 1 species
GGCGAACGGGUGGGUAACACGUGAGUAACCUGCCCUUGACUCUGGGAUAAGCCUGGGAAACUGGGUCUAAUACCGGANAUGACCUUCCAUCGCAUGGUGGUUGGUGGAAAGCUUUUGUGGUUUUGGAUGGACUCGCGGCCUAUCAGCUUGUUGGUGGGGUAAUGGCCUACCAAGGCGACGACGGGUAGCCGGCCUGAGAGGGUGACCGGCCACACUGGGACUGAGACACGGCCCAGACUCCUACGGGAGGCAGCAGUGGGGAAUAUUGCACAAUGGGCGCAAGCCUGAUGCANCNNNNNNNCGUGAGGGAUGACGGCCUUCGGGUUGUAAACCUCUUUCAGUAGGGAAGAAGCGUAAGUGACGGUACCUGCAGAAGAAGCGCCGGCUAACUACGUGCCAGCAGCCGCGGUAAUACGUAGGGCGCAAGCGUUAUCCGGAAUUAUUGGGCGUAAAGAGCUCGUAGGCGGUUUGUCGCGUCUGCCGUGAAAGUCCGGGGCUCAACUCCGGAUCUGCGGUGGG